AGUUAUCCAGAGAGCUGUGGUUUCUCCACUCCCAGAGCUGCCCCAGCAGAAGCUGCUAGAAGAGUUAGACAUCUUCAAUGCAGCACAUUCCCUUUUCCUCCUGCCAUUCCAGUGGUGUCCUGCUGUCCUGGCUGUGUGAGGUUCCCAGAGUUGUUCUGGACCCUGAUAAACCAGAUCGUAAAUAUGGAGAAAUUACCUGCACCUGGGGAGUUUUGGCAAUGAGGGCAACAUCCAGGCCGAUGAGCUGCCCUGCAGCGUGGAGAGACCCUCCCUCACCACCGCUCCCUGCCAGCCAGGUGGAGUCAGUCCCCUGCAGUAUUUCACAGCUCCCCUCUUCCAUUUCCCCCCCACACUUCUGUUCACUUAGAGAUGAGCCUGGAUUUACCCCUUCCUGACUCUUGAUAAAGUUGAUCAAUGGACCAGUUCAGUCAUGUGUAGUGGGUAGAACAAAAGCUCCUUGAGCGUUCAGAUCCACCUCCAAAGUGCACAGCUUGAGCCCAUCUCCAGGUUUAAUUACUCCCGACCAUUCCCAUGUGUCUCUGGGAAAGAUGCGUCCCCUCAUCUCUGUAUCUGCUUUAAAAUUCGAUCAGUUGCCAUUUUUCUAAAUCCUUCUAUCAAAGAAAUCCUCUCCCCUCCCUCCUAAAUCUCUUGCACUUGGAACUUCAGGGAACAGAGCAGAUGCAGUUUGAUGCCCUCAUCCAAACUAAUGAUUUGUUUCUGGCCGAGAACACGUUACCAUCAAGGGGUUUUAAUAUUCUGCAGAAUUUAGUGGAGGCCAAUAGAGUAGGAGGGGGGUUAGAUGCUCUGCCUUUGCCAAGAUGUUUAUGCAGCAGGAAUGUUAUUUAUGUAAAU